rnacentral:ncRNA from 1 species
AAUUUUAUUCUAGUUUUAAGAUUUGUUUUUUAAAUAAUUUACAUGUAAAUUUUUGUGUGAGUGAAAAUUACCUAAAAGGUUAAAAGUUUUAUCGCAGUAUAUAGGAUUAAUUAUUAAAGAAGUUUAGAAUUAAUAAUUUAAUUUAGUGUUGGCUAAAUUCGUGCCAGCUGCCGCGGUUAUACGUGGAACACAAAUAAAUUACUUAAGUGUUAGAAGUUAACUUGUUGUUGUUUUUAGGUGAAAUUUAUUUUGUGUAGGUAGAAUUUAAAUAAAUAAUUAAAUUUAUUUUAUGGAAGUAAUCUUCGAGAUUAUAAUAAUAAACUAGGAUUAGAUACCCUAUUAUAUAUAAUGUGAAUAGUUUUGAGCUGGAGUAGUAAUAGUUAUGAUCUUGAAACUCAAAGAAUUUGGCGGUGUUUUAGUCUCGUCAGAGGAAUUUGUCCUGUAAUUGAUAUUACGCGAUUUAGUUGACUUAGUUUUGUAAUAUUCAGUUUAUAUACCGCCGUCGUAAGAAUAUUUUAGGAGAAUUAUUUUCUUAAUUUUUUUUUUUAUAAAAUAUGUCAGGUCAAGGUGUAGCUAAUAACUAAGUAGAGAUGAAUUACAAUAAGGUAACUUAUAAUGGAUUUUGUUGUGGAAUAAAUAAGUGAAGGUGGAUUUGAAAGUAAUGUUGAUUUAUAAUAUUAACAUGAUUAGGCUCUGAAACAUGUACACAUCGCCCGUCACUCUCGUUAGAAGAUGAGAUAAGUCGUAACAAAGUAGGUGUACUGGAAAGUGUACCUAGAAAGAUUUU